CAAACAAUUUAAUAAGUCGUCUGGAUCAGUUUAUCCAAAGUUUAACAAAAACACUGUUUUUAGUGUAAACUACACAGAAAAACUACACAGAGUGAAAUUUCGGAAGCACGCAGACCCGGUCGGAUCCACCGGCCCGCGGAACGGAUCGAGGCCACCGGCAUCCUCCGCUUGCGUCGCAUUGCGGCGCCGAGCUCGAAACCCCUGGAUCGGUUGCAGCUUUCCCACUGCCCCCGCCCGAUAACGCGGCGGUAGGGUGGUGGCCUGUCGAUCUCGCGGCGGGAGCCGGCUAACUACCUGCCGUUUUGUGGAUUUGUGUGCGUGCUUGAUUUUGGUGCGUGUGGUGGCGUGGAGUCGCCGGCGGGGGGGGGGGGGGAGCUAGGGUUUUGGUUUGGGCUUUCGGGAUGACGCGCCGGGUGCGGCGGCGGACGUGCAGGGAACGGGAGGGUAGGGUGGUGCGGGGCGCGUGGUGUGUUGUUUCGGCGAGGCCGGAAGGCGAGGACGAUGCGGCAGCGGUGGAGGUGGACUGGAGGGCGCUGCCGGACGACACGGUGCUGCAGCUUUUCGCGCGGCUGAACUACCGCGACCGCGCCAGCAUGGCCUCAGCGUGCCGGGCUUGGCGAGCGCUGGGCUCGUCAUCCUGCCUGUGGAGCACGCUCGACCUCCGUGCACACCGCUACGACCGGGAGGUGGCGUCAUCGCUUGCCUCGCGGUGCGGGAGCCUUCGUCGGUUACGCCUGCGCGGCCACGAGGCAGCAGAGGCCGUCCCGGCCCUCUGCGCGCAUGGUCUCCGCGAGGUGGUGGCCGAUGGCUGCCGCGGCCUCACGGAUGCCACGCUCGCUGUCCUCGCCGCGCGGCAUGAGGACCUCCAGAGCCUCCAGAUCGGGCCCGAUCCUCUCGAGCGCAUAUCCAGUGACGCCCUCCGCCACGUCGCUCUUUGUUGCUCCCAACUCCGCCGCCUGCGCCUCUCGGGUCUCCGUGAAGCUGACGCGGAUGCCGUCGGAGCGCUCGCCCGCUGCUGCCCCCUCCUCGAGGACGUGGCUUUCCUCGAUUGCGGCACCGUGGAUGAGACCGCUCUUGCUGGUAUCCACUCUCUCCGCUUCCUCUCUGUAGCAGGAUGCCGGAACCUGAAAUGGGCUACUGCAUCCACCUCCUGGACUCAGCUUUCCUCCCUUAUUGCCCUUGACGUCUCCCGCACGGAUGUUUCACCAAGUGCUGUUUCACGGCUCAUUUCCCAUGCCAAAACCCUCAAGCUUAUAUGCACGCUGAACUGUAUUUCUGUUGAGGAGGAACAGCUUCAUAAUCCUGCUGUUUUUAGUAACUCUAAGGGCAAGGUCGUGCUAACGAUUAACAGUGACAUCUUUAGAUCUUUUGAGACCAUGUUUCCAAUUGUGGAUGCUAAAGAGCACGGGGUUUUCCAUCAGUGUAACUGGAGUCACAAAGACAAGAUAGCUGGUGAUAUAACAACAUGGCUCGAGUGGAUCCUGUCACAGUCACUUCUCCGAAUUGCAGAGUCCAACCCACAAGGCAUGGAUGGUUUUUGGCUGCAGAAGGGCACCACACUGCUGCUUAGACUAUUGAAGAGUUUGCAGGAGGAUGUGCAGGAGCGGGCAGCCACUGCACUUGCUACGUUUGUAGUUAUGGAUGACGAGACUGCAAAUGUGGAUCCUGCAAGGUCGGAGGCGGUGAUGCAGAAUGGGGGCAUCCGAAUGUUGCUGGACCUUGCAAGGUGCUCAAGGGAGAGCGCACAGUCUGAAGCAGCAAAAGCUAUUGCCAACUUGUCAGUGAAUACCAAGGUUGCCAAGGCAGUUGCAGAUGAAGGCGGCAUUACAAUACUCACUGAUUUAGCCAAGUCGAUGAAUAGGCUUGUUGCUGAAGAGGCUGCUGGUGGCCUUUGGAAUCUCUCUGUAGGCGAGGACCACAAGGCGUCUAUUGCAGUAUCUGGUGGUAUCAAGGCCCUGGUAGAUCUAAUAUUUCGUUGGCCUGCUGGAACCGAUGGAGUUCUUGAACGUGCUGCUGGUGCGCUUGCAAACCUGGCUGCCGACGACAAGUGUAGCUUGGAAGUUGCAAAGGCUGGUGGUGUCCAUGCUUUGGUUACACUUGCUCGAUCAUGUAAACUUGAUGGCGCCCUAGAACAGGCUGCAAGAGGUCUAGCUAACUUAGCUGCACAUGGGGACAACAAUGACAACAAUGCUGCUGUAGGUCAGGAAGCUGGGGCUCUGGAGGCACUAGUGCAACUAACAGGUUCUCAAAACGAGGGUGUAAGACAAGAAGCUGCUGGUGCUUUGUGGAACCUGUCAUUUGAUGACAGAAACCGUGAAGCCAUUGCUGCAGUGGGUGGCGUUGAAGCUUUGGUUGCCCUAGUGCAACAAUGUUUGAAUGCUUCAGAAGGCCUUCAGGAGAGAGCUGCUGGUGCAUUAUGGGGAUUAUCUGUUUCAGAAGCUAAUAGCAUUGCAAUUGGGCAGGGUGGUGGGGUUGCACCUUUGCUCACAUUGGCACGCUCAGAGGUUGAAGAUGUUCAUGAGACAGCUGCAGGGGCACUAUGGAAUCUUGCUUUUUAUUCUGGUAAUGCUCUCCGCAUAGUCGAAGAAGGUGGGGUGCCUGUUCUUGUAAAAAUUUGCUCAUCAUCAGGGUCCAAGAUGGCACGCUUCAUGUCUGCACUAGCACUAGCAUAUAUGUUUGAUGGAAGAAUGGAUGAAGUUGCUUUGGUUGGAGCAUCCUCAGCUAGCAGUUCCAAGAGUGUUAAUAUUGAAGGAGCUAGAAGAAUAGCAUUUAAGCAUAUAGAGACCUUUGUGCUCACUUUCUCAGAUCCACAAAUGUUCUCUACGGCUGCUGCCUCCUCAGCCCCGGCAGCGCUGUCUCAUGUUGCUGAAGCAGUGUUUAUACAGGAAGCUGGACACCUGAGAUGCAGUCGCUCUGAGAUUGGUAGAUUUGUUGUCAUGCUUCGGAAUCCUUCACCAAUUCUUCGUGCUUGUGCUGCCUUUGCCCUUCUUCAGGCUAUGGGGCUGACAAGAAGGAAAUCCCUCUAGUCCCGACCAGCAUCCAGCAAGGAGCAGGGCCCUUGCCAAACUAAGCGCCGCACCCUCAAAGACACACAAGUUCUGAUGCUUCCACAGAAUCCAGGCCCCUAAAAUAACAAGGGAAUUAAACCCUCUUUGGACUAGAUCAGAAACCUUCAUACUCUGCUCCACCAAGCAUCAAGGCUCUCAUCCUCAGGUAGAGGCGUAAUGUUUUGGAGAUUCAAACGACUGAGGAGAGCGAACCAGAACUACCGUGCGAACACACAAUUCGUCAACAGGUGGUCAAUAGUUUCCUCCUGAUCACAAUGUGGGCAUGUAUCAGGGUGCUGCAAAUUCCUCCGAGCAAGCCGAUCCGUGGUCCAGCAUCUCCUGUGGGUGACUAACCAAAUGAAAAACUUACACUUAUUAGUUCACAAUCCCAGGAGGUCGGCAUGCGGUGCACCACGCAGGUCUCUUGCAGGAAGCAGGAGCAGGUCGAGUGUUACGCCCAGCGGCGGCAGCGACAACAGCUUCUAUUGAAGCCAAAAUCUUUGCCAGGAUUGUCCUCAGGAACUUGGAACACCAUCAGUCAGGGACGUCAACAUGAACACCCAGCAGAGGUGCAUCCUCCAACAAACAAAGGCUUCUGCAACGAUGGGCUGCUUGGCCGAUGCAGAAUGGACUACUUUGGCUUUCGGAGCCUUUUUACAUCACAACAACAGUUUUUCUGUGCAGACAGUGACUGAAGGGACUUCACCGAAGGUAUAACCCACAACUCUGAAGUGACUGAAUGAAACAUAAGUGACGGCCCUUCCCGUAUCGGGCGUUUAAGGUGAACCUGCAGUUUUCUAGAGAUUAUUUUGUGUAUAAGUAAAAAACUUUUAGCGUCGAUGAGAAUUAUAAACUGGCAUAGCUAAACUUAUGGAUAUUUAUUCCUUGUUCGUUAUUGUUGAGGUGUGUAGCGGCGUCAUGUAGAAAUUGGGCUAUUCCUCCUAGUAUACAUGUAACUUUAUAAAUGUACUGUUAUGUAUUUUCCCCCAUGAUUGAUUCUGUGCAUUUAUAGAUCGAGGUGUUGUUAAGCA